rnacentral:ncRNA from 1 species
UCUUAUAAAGAUAGGUUGAGGGACUGGCCCUAUGACAUCUAGGCAACCAUUGAAUUAAUUUUCAAACGGUGCUAAAUCCAGCGAAUUAUUUUUUUAAUUCGAAAUAUAAGG